rnacentral:lncRNA from 1 species
AAACUAUUGCGAGUAGAAGAGAGACGAGAAGAGCUCUAGAGAGGAAGUUGAGCUCCAUGGCUCUUUGAUUACACACAGAGUGACUAAAGAGAACUGAUAAAAAUAAAGACAACAGCUAUCACGAAACACCAAGUUAGGUAGAGAGAGAGAGAGACUAAAAAUUAAGUUCCUUAAAAAGAGAGAGGUUGAUGACAAUAUUUUUAACAUUGGAUUACAGCCUUGCAAGGACGCGGAAACGUGCGAGCCUUUAAUGCAACGUUCUCAAACAAUGACGUUUCAUUGCCGUGGCAUUUUAUUUGUUGCUACUGUAUAUAUCAAUCAGUACAGUGUGCCAAAUUGUCGAUGAUGUAUAUUUAACUUAAUUUUCCUAUAGGUUACAACAAAAACGCUGAUAAACAAAUUAACAUAGGAUAGUUUGGUGAUGAAUGGUAUUUUUUUUUUAAAUUUGAACGUUGUGUUCCAAGACAAGAAUGGUAUACUAAUUUUAAUGUUCAUUUUUAUGAAUAUAAUGUAAGAUAAUUCUCUACCAUUCUGUUUUGAACAUACAAAAUCCUAUUCUGCUUGGGCUUGCUACUGCUCCUUUCUGUAACAUCUAAUGUCUAGGGGAGGGAUACCCCUUAUCUGUUAUUUCCUCUAUUUGAGCGUUUAUUCACAUGCGGUGAGAGUUUGCUCGAUGUUGAAGUCCAUUAUUUACAGAAACCUAGUGGAAAGAAAUGAACAUUUUAGAGGCAAGAAGAAAAAAUCAUUCAAAUCUACAAAUAGCAAAUGCAACUUGAGUCCUACUUUUACCUUAUCAACAUAUAUAUAGGUAAUAUUGACAAUGAAACCUAACCCAACAUAAACUCUCAAACAAAAUAUCUCAUACAUAAAAUAGUAUUCAUUUUAAUAUAAUUUAAUUAAUAAUUAAAUUUUAAACCAUAAGAUUAAAGUGAAGAAAUUACCAUGCAACACAUCAUAUCAAAGUAUCUCCUUUUUUGUUGUUGAGUUUUUUUCAGAUGAGAACCUCCUGUGCUUCUCUUACAACAUUUUACAAUUUUUUAUGUUUCUUUAAAAGUUUUACUGUCUUCGAAUUACCAUAUUCUGUAAUGAAAUCUAAUUUAGAUUUAAUUCAGUUCGAAAAAGACAAACAAGUAGCCAGCUAACUUCUUGAAUACUUAAGUACCUUUUUUUUUUGAAUACUUAAGUACCAUGUUGAUUUUUUUCCAGAGAAAACCAUGCAUAUUGUCAAAAUUGUAGAACAAGUCUUAUUCACUAUAUUCUAUUCUCAGGACUUUUCUGUUGGACAAACCAUAAGGGCCAAUAGGAAUCAAACACCGUACAAUCCUUUUUGGAUCAUCUAAAUGUGUUGGUCCAAAAUAAUUUCACUGUUAGUAUUUUAUGUUGAUCACAAAUGCAAAGAAUUAUAAUCCUUUUUGGAUGAUCUAAAUACGUUGGUCCAAAAUAAUUUCACUGUUAGUAUUUUAUGUUGAUCACAAAGGCAAAGAAUAUAUAAUUUGCAAAGUUUGUAUCUUCUCCAUUCACAUAGCAAGAGACUUGACUCAUCUUAAUCAUAUAACAGCCUCAAAGCAUUCCAAUAUCUUAACAAGGCAUAGUAAAAAGCUCAUGUACACACCCACAACACAUGCCUUAUGAUAUUAAAAACUAUUAAAGUAAAAGCUACACACACUCAGUUUUUUUUUCCUUUUACUUCUUCUCUUCUUAGACGUCUAAGGCGCAAUGUAAUGUCGCAGAUCAUUAUUGCCAAUCACCGCUCAGUCCAUUGCAUACAUCUGGGUCCAGAAACGGGCAGUGGUCUCGUACUUGGCUCGGUCUGUCUUGUAUAUGUGAGCUAUUUCUGGAACCAGAGCUUCAUCAGGGUUUGGAUCUGUAACUGUAGUAUUGGCUGGAGGAAGCGCAUGUUUGCCAGGACUUGCAGGUACGAUAAUAUUACCUCUUUUGUAAUGCCAUGAAUUUACUCUGAAGUGAAUAAUUAGUAGUUCUUUCGUACAACUUGAAACAUCUUUGAAACUCGAUCUAAAAGAAUAGAGCACUUAACUAACAUGCCUAUGCGUUUUUUUUUGUCUUUGUGAGCUGUAUCCAGAAAGGCUAGAGAAAGAACUGCAUGACCACCUUCCUUCUUAUAUAUGCAAUGGAGUCAGAGUAAUCCCUCCUCCUUGCGGCGUGGACUCAGCAUGGCAUGGAGCAAAGCUUAUCAGUAACGUAAGUCGAUAUUAUAUUGAUGAUAUUCAUUGAGUUUACAAUUAAGCGACGCAUCUCUCUUUCUCAGUCUCCUUAGCGGUUUUAAUACCAACAGAUUAUUUCUCAAGUGCUACUGUCUGAAACAUACCUUAGAUGGUGCUAUAUUUAACAUACCACGCCUGAGGCUCACGCAAUUGCAUGUUAAUUAAUUACUAUGUGCAGUUAAGCACGUUUCCUGGUCCUUGGUGUAUCACAAGGAAGCAGUUCCGUCGCAAAUCAAGACUAAUGUGGUGAAUCUCUCAGGUUUUUACUUCUUACAUAUACUGAUAUACAAGACCAAGCUAUUCGAUUCGUAAGUGAGAGGCAUGUUGACUGCAUAAUAGUUCCAAGGUACUUUACAUGUCUGGAUGUAUAGUGUAAUAGUGUUCCAUUAUUGUUUGCCCUCCAAAGCCUAGAAAACAUUAUGAAGAAUCAAGUUACUUGCUUAUACACACUGUGUUUUAAAUAUAGCUUGUUGAAACCUUUUGUUGAUUUAUAUACUUAAAUCCUUUCACAAUCUUCUUUAUAAUAUUUACUAGGCCAAUUUAUAGAAGAGACAAUGAUACAUAUACAUAAGUCAAUCAUACAAAUUAUCAUUUAGAAGUUUUUGAAGUUCCCUUAAUCAUAGAUAUACAGAGACUUGUAACAAGUAGCAGCAUUACAUAUGGCUUUGUCGGCCUCGAAAUAAUAAAACAGUCACGAAUAAAGCUACGGUCAUCCAAAUACGAGAAGAAGCGGUGGUGGUGGUGGUGGCUGUGUUUACGUCUGCUACUGAAUUGGGAGGCAUAUCGGGGCACUCGAGGCCUUCUUUAUCUCCUUUACACUGGCUAGAGAACAGUCCAGCCGGGUAUUUCCCAUAGAUAUUGAUGUAACUGAACAUCGUGCUUGCACAAUCUGUGGACAGGUCGUUGAGCUGUUCGGCGUAAGGACACGCAAACUCUAAAAAGGAAGAGCAACACUCCUUUACUGGGAAUUUGGGACCUUUACACUGGCUCGUUAUGACAGUGUAGUUCAUAAACUCUAAGUUCAGGGAACAUUCUGUUACCAUGGAUUGGCCAAGAAAGUAAGGAAUUUUAUAAGCAUAAUAAACACACAGAAAAACCUCCAGGAUAAAGAAACCAGAAUCAAAAUUAUGAAUAUGGAUCAACAUAGAGGUAGCUCCAUCUGGAUCGGUUUGUAUUUGUGCUUUCACACAUUGGGAAACAAAAAAUGGAACUCUUAACUAAGAUUCUAAUACAUGCGAAGAGAUUCAGUUUUAAAUGAUCACCAGAAGAUAAACAAGUUGGGGAAAGCAAGAUUUUAUGAGAUUGCGAAGUGACUUACUUUUCUUGGCCUGAAGUAGGUUUCUUCCAAUAACCAAAUCCUGAGAUUCGAGCACACCAUCUGCAUUUUUUUCAAAAAAAUAAAUAAAUAAAAAAAAAACAAAUUGACUGAGAACAUUCAAACAGUUAUUUGGGGAAGAAAAGAAUCAAGAAAGUGUUACCGGAGAUAACAGUAGAGGAUGAGAAAGAUGAAACUAUUGCGAGUAGAAGAGAGACGAGAAGAGCUCUAGAGAGGAAGUUGAGCUCCAUGGCUCUUUGAUUACACACAGAGUGACUAAAGAGAACUGAUAAAAAUAAAGACAACAGCUAUCACGAAACACCAAGUUAGGUAGAGAGAGAGAGAGACUAAAAAUUAAGUUCCUUAAAAAGAGAGAGGUUGAUGACAAUAUUUUUAACAUUGGAUUACAGCCUU